GGUAAAACUUAUGAUAGACUUGAGUUUUGAAGUUUCAGAAAAGAGUGGUCAACAAAAAUUAAAGCAAAACAACUUUUACAGUUGAUCUGCUU